UACGUAGGGUGCAAGCGUUGUCCGGAAUUAUUGGGCGUAAAGAGCUCGUAGGCGGUUUGUCGCGUCUGCUGUGAAAACCGGAGGCUCAACCUCCGGCCUGCAGUGGGUACGGGCAGACUAGAGUGCGGUAGGGGAGACUGGAAUUCCUGGUGUAGCGGUGAAAUGCGCAGAUAUCAGGAAGAACACCCGUGGCGAAGGCGGCUCUCUGGGACGGUACUGACGCUGAGACGCGAAAGCGUGGGGAGCGAACAGG
rnacentral:rRNA from 1 species